rnacentral:tRNA from 1 species
AACGAAAUAGCUCAGUUGAGAGAGGGUUAUACUAUGGAUCAAAAGGUGCCUGGUUCGAUCCCGGAUUUCUGUUU